GACGAACGCUGGCGGCGUGCUUAACACAUGCAAGUCGAACGGAAAGGCCCCUUCGGGGGUACUCGAGUGGCGAACGGGUGAGUAACACGUGAGUAACCUGCCCUUGACUUCGGGAUAACUUCAGGAAACUGGGGCUAAUACCGGAUAGGAAUCCUUGCUGCAUGGUGGGGGUUGGAAAGCUUCGGCGGUUUUGGAUGGACUCGCGGCUUAUCAGCUUGUUGGUGGGGUAGUGGCUUACCAAGGCUUUGACGGGUAGCCGGCCUGAGAGGGCGACCGGCCACAUUGAGACUGAGAGACGGCCCAGACUCCUACGGGAGGCAGCAGUGGGGAAGAUUGCACAAUGGGCGGAAGCCUGAUGCAGCAACGCCGCGUGCGGGAUGACGGCCUUCGGGUUGUAAACCGCGUUCAGCAGGGGCGAAGCUUGUGGUGACGGUACCUGCAGAAGAAGCACCGGCUAACUACGUG
rnacentral:rRNA from 1 species